rnacentral:rRNA from 1 species
CAGCCGCCACGGUAAUACGAAGGGGGCUAGCGUUGUUCGGAAUUACUGGGCGUAAAGCGCACGUAGGCGGAUUUUUAAGUCAGGGGUGGAAUCCCGAGGCUCAACCUCGGAACUGCCUUUGAUACUGGAGAUCUUGAGUUCGGAAGAGGUUGGUGGAACAGCUAGUGUAGAGGUGAAAUUCGUAGAUAUUAGCUAGAACACCAGUGGCGAAGGCGGCCAACUGGUCCGAUACUGACGCUGAGGUGCGAAAGCGUGGGGAGCAAACAGGAUUAGAUACCCCAGUAGUCCCUGUCUCUUAAAA